rfam:Ictidomys tridecemlineatus contig056370, whole genome shotgun sequence.
UGGGGUGUGGCUCCGUGGUAGAGCACCUGCCUGAAGUGCAUGAGGUCCUGGGUUUGAUCCCCAGCGUCACAA